GCCUAGUUAGCUUAGUUGGUAGUGCGUCUGCCUUGUAAGCGCUAGGCCGCUGGUUCGAUUCCCGCCCGGGGCG
rfam:Asian citrus Psyllid, Diaphorina citri - Florida Strain, whole genome shotgun sequence.